GCCCCGCGCCCCCUUACCCGUGGCGACCGCUACGCUGGCCACGCUCCAGCGAAAUGAGGUAGGCGGCAAGUUUGGCGUCGCUCCAGCCGCUGCGGCGUCUCAGGUCCACCCAGGGGCCGUGCGCCUCGCCCAGGACUGCGACCCCACACUCCUGCUGCCGUGGGUAGUGGACGAAGAUGCGCUGGAUAAUGUUUCGGGGCCGGAAGACCUCCUUGGGGAAAACAUCCAGCAGCAGCUGGGCCAGUGCCUGGUACAUGGUAACUGCCCAACACCGACCAACUGACGGGGAAUAAGCAGUAAGUUUCUACAAAACAGGGAGAUCUGAACAGCCAGGUCGCGUAUAUGCGUGGGGGCUGGCACGAUUCCGGGUCUCUGAGAGGUCUCAUUGGAAGGUUCCAAGCCUGCCUCACAGACAAUAUGUGUGGCCCGAGUCCGCUGUCCCAUCUGUGAAACGGAACGCCUGCAGCAAGAGGUGCCCAGCAACCUUUCCUCGCACGUUCCCAAGCCUGCACCCCAAAAGGUCACAGUGCCCCAACUCUGAGGCCGAGUUGAAGGUCAUCCUCCCUGGCUCUACCAGGCCUGGAAGUGGACGCCCCAAUCCCAGACAGUCCCAUAGACCCCCACGCGCGACCCACCUACUCACGCGGCCAGCCGCAGACCUGAGCCGGCUCGGUGGGACCGCUGGGCGCCGUCAUGUUGAGCCACGGAGCUUCCGGUUACGAGUCGAAGGUGACAGCAAAUCAGAAAAGCCUGUGACGCUAGGUCCCGCCCUCAGGAAGAGAUCCACCAAUAGGAAGGGGGAACACACUGGUUCCUCCUCAGGAGCAGGCCCUGCCCCUCACCGAACUCCAUUAGCUUGGAGACCUUGGGUACCAGCGCCUCGGCGGGUGCCCGGGGUUCCGUCCGGUCCAGUUUUCUCCGCCGUGAUGGUAAAUUAUUAUUAUUGUUACGGACUGGAGCCCAGAGCCGCUUGCGUGCUAAGCAAGCACUCUACCGCUGUCAACUAAGCCGCAGCCCCAAGUCCCGGGAUGCAUUCUUUUUACUAAGCAGGUUUUUUAGUUUGGUUGGUUGAGUUGUUUGAGUCAGGGUCUUGCAGUGGUGCUCAGUCUGUUCUCAAAACCCCGGAUUCAAGAGAUCCUCUGGGUUCAGCCUCCCGAAUAGCUGGAACUUCAGCUGGGCAACACUGCCAACAGCUUUAACAGAAUGUCAAGCUAUGUUUAUUUUUAUUGUGUGUUCUGUGUGUAAGUCUAUGUGAGCACGUUCGUGUGGAAGUCAGAAGGCAGCUCAGGAGGAUGCUCUUUCCAUGUGGGUACUGGGAAUGAAACCUGGGUCAGCAGGCUUGGCUGCGAGCACUUUUAACGCCCUUUAAUAAAAAUUUUUGAAG
rnacentral:lncRNA from 1 species